GCCCCUAUAGCCCAAUUGGCAGAGGCAGCGGACUUAAAAUCCGUCGAGUCUGGGUUCGAGUCCCAGUGGGGGCA
rnacentral:tRNA from 3 species